UACAGAGGGGGCAAGCGUUGUUCGGAAUUACUGGGCGUAAAGGGCGCGUAGGCGGCCUGUUAAGUCGAACGUGAAAUCCCCGGGCUCAACCCGGGAACUGCGUCCGAUACUGGCAGGCUUGAAUCCGGGAGAGGGAUGCGGAAUUCCAGGUGUAGCGGUGAAAUGCGCAGAUAUCAGGAGGAACACCGAUUGCGAAGGCAGCUCGCUGGGACGUAACUGACGCUGAGACGCGAAGCGUGGGGAGCAAACAGG
rnacentral:rRNA from 1 species